rnacentral:rRNA from 1 species
AUAUCAAUAAGCGGAGGAAAAGAAACCAACAGGGAUUGCCUUAGUAACGGCGAGUGAAGCGGGAUGAGCUCAGAUUUGAAAUCCGGUCCUUGGACCCGAGUUGUAAUCUGUAGGGGUAGCUUCGGGCGCGGCGUCUUCUGAGUCCCCUGGAACGGGGCGCCAUAGAGGGUGAGAGCCCCGUAUUCGAUCCAUAACCAAAGCCGUGCAAGCGUCCUUCGACGAGUCGAGUUGUUUGGGAAUGCAGCUCAAAGCGGGUGGUAAAUUCCAUCUAAAGCUAAAUAUUGGCCAGAGACCGAUGCGCACAGUA